AGAUUGAACGCUGGCGGCAUGCCUAACACAUGCAAGUCGAACGGGAGUAGCAAUACUCUAGUGGCGGACGGGUGAGGAAUACGUAGGAAUUUGCCCUUAAGUGGGGGAUAACCCGGGGAAACCCGGAUUAAUACCGCAUGACCUCGAAAGAGCAAAGUGGGGGAUCGCAAGACCUCACGCUUUUGGAGAAGCCUACGUCGGAUUAGCUAGUUGGUGAGGUAA
rnacentral:rRNA from 1 species